rnacentral:rRNA from 1 species
UACAGAGGUCUCAAGCGUUGUUCGGAUUCAUUGGGCGUAAAGGGUGCGUAGGCGGCGCGGUAAGUCGGGUGUGAAAUCUCGGAGCUUAACUCCGAAACUGCAUUCGAUACUGCCGUGCUUGAGGACUGGAGAGGAGACUGGAAUUUACGGUGUAGCGGUGAAAUGCGUAGAUAUCAGGAGGAACACCUGUGGCGAAAAGCGGCUCACUGGACCAUAACUGACGCUGAUGCACGAAAGCUAGGGGGAGCAAACAGG